rnacentral:rRNA from 1 species
GAUGAACGCUGGCGGCGUGCCUAAUACAUGCAAGUCGAGCGAACAGACGAGGAGCUUGCUCCUCUGACGUUAGCGGCGGCCGGGUGAGUAACACGUGGAUAACCUACCUAUAAGACUGGGAUAACUUCGGGAAACCGGAGCUAAUACCGGAUAAUAUAUUGAACCGCAUGGUUCAAUAGUGAAAGACGGUUUUGCUGUCACUUAUAGAUGGAUCCGCGCCGCAUUAGCUAGUUGGUAAGGUAACGGCUUACCAAGGCAACGAUGCGUAGCCGACCUGAGAGGGUGAUCGGCCACACUGGAACUGAGACACGGUCCAGACUCCUACGGGAGGCAGCAGUAGGGAACCUUCCGCAAUGGGCGAAAGCCUGACGGAGCAACGCCGCGUGAGGGAGGAAGCUCUUCGGAUCGUAAAACUCUGUUAUUAGGGAAGAACAAAUGCGUAAGUAACUAUGCACGUCUUGACGGUACCUAAUCAGAAAGCCACGGCUAACUACGUG